rnacentral:lncRNA from 1 species
ACACACACACACACGAACAACUCAAAAAAACAAUUACAGAAUUACCACCAGAACCUGCAGAUCAAUUCACAGAAUUGUCAAUUUGAAUCUCACAUAACUGAUUUGAUGGCAACAACAGCAUGAGGGAUAUAUAUACACACAAGAAAGUGACCCCAAAAACAUGAUACACGAACGAGACUUGGCUUCGCUUUUCCUUGGAAAAUGGAGCCCAGUGAGAAAAGAGAGCUACUAGAAGCACAUCGCUUUUCCUCAGAGUUGGACGACAAGACGGCGACGGCGACGGCGGCGGUGCUGGACCUCAGGCCGACGCAGCCGGGGGAGAAGCCGCGCGUGGUGGUGCUCAGGACGGGGUGGGCGGUGUGCAGGUUCCUCAAGGACGUGGACACGAGCGCCUACGACGACAUGCAGGUUCCACCACCGCCGCCGUCGCCGGCGGCCAACUGGAAGCGGGACGUGCAGGUUCCAUCGUCGACCUCCUCUGGGUCUCUGCUGGGUCUAACGGCGACGGCAACUUCGCUGGGUCUAAGCCGACCGCCACCGCCACCGCCGCCCAACUCCACUUCCCCAGCCGCCGCUCCUCUCCCCCGGCCACCAUUCCUCUCCCUCGUGGGCCUCAUGGGCGACGGCCGGCGGGGGAGCCCACUCGCCGCUCCUCCUUUCGCCGCCCAUGCGCUGUUCCUCCGUUGCCCGCGCGCGGCCUCUACACCGCCGCCGCCCCACAGCUCCUCCCCCUGCCGGCCGAGUUAGAGAAGAGAAGACAAAGAGAAGAGUGAGAGAGAGAUAAGGAGAGAGAUGUGGGUCCCACGCUGACUCAGCCGCCACGUAGGACAAAACCGGGUCAAAACCACCGAAGGACCUAUUGUGAUCGGUUUUGAUUAGUUAAGGGACGGCGGAUAUCUGGUUUUACGGUUGGGGGAC